rnacentral:rRNA from 1 species
UACGUAGGGCGCAAGCGUUAUCCGGAAUUAUUGGGCGUAAAGAGCUCGUAGGCGGCUUAUCACGUCUGCUGUGAAAAUCCGAGGCUCAACCUCGGACCUGCAGUGGGUACGGGUAGGCUAGAGUUAUGUAGGGGAGACUGGAAUUCCUGGUGUAGCGGUGGAAUGCGCUGAUAUCAGGAGGAACACCGAUGGCGAAGGCAGGUCUCUGGGCAUAUACUGACGCUGAGGAGCGAAAGCGUGGGGAGCGAACAGG